rnacentral:sRNA from 1 species
UUUAGCAGCGUGCCGAUCGGGACACCACCUCCACCAGCAGGCAUAGCAUUGCAACGAAAAUCAUCAUCAUGAUUUUUUUUUUUUUUGCCAUGGCUUCUUCUGCAGCCGCAGCGGCGUGGCUUCCACGUGCGCAUUUCAGUUCCCCGCCGCCAUAAGAAACCCAACACCAGCAGCUCUCUCUGCCCAUUAUUCAAUCUGCAGUUUAUCAUAGCCAAGAGUAUAUGAAUGCUACAACAGUCGAUGAUG